rnacentral:lncRNA from 1 species
CUCUGGUUUAUUUUCACAGGGAGCACUGUCUUUUUUCUCAAGAUCUGAUGUCUCACUUACUUGAUUAUCAUGACUACCAUCAUCACCUUCACAAGUAUCAGAUUUUAUAUCUUCAUUGACCAUCCCUUUAUCCUCAACAGGUUCCUCAGUUUCCCCCUCCUCUUUCUUAUCAUCAUCGUCGUCAUCAUCACUACUAGAAGAAUCAGAGUACGUGAACUUAAUUUUUUUAUUGAUAGGUUUACUGGGUGCCUCAGAAAGAUUUAUCGCUGAAUCCUUCCCAUGUAGAAGCUCUUCAAAGAACUGCAAAGGCAAACCAAAACAAUCCAACAGAUCAGAUUCCCAAGAAAAUUCCUAUUUAAAAAAACCUAGGAACAAGACAUUGAAGAGAAAAAUCAUAGUCCAUAUUCCAUGACAGCGAAUCUUGACCUUCACAGUAAUUUGAUUUAUUGAAGAUCUGAACAAUAAAGGACAAAAAAAAAGAAAAAGAUGAAGGUUUCCUAAUAAUUGCGCAAGAUUUCAAAGAAAUGUAAACAUAUGGCCAACCUAUAUGCUUUUGCAGGUCAUCACUGGGUCUCAUCAAGAACCAAUUUCAGCUUAAGCUACAAUUAUGUUGUCCGUAUCAUAGUCCAUGAGUACACAAGGAUGUCAUAAAUGAUCUUGAGCAAUAGCAUGAUGGGUAUGUGUUAGUAUCCAUUUGGAUGGCCUACUAUAGAUAACAGAACCAAUGUCGAGAUUGAAUUUCAUAAUAAACCAGAGAAAACUGUGUCUAUUGGACUCUGAUAAACAAGCGCAAGCCAAGAGAGAGAGAGAGAGAGAGAGGAAAGGAGAUACCG